rnacentral:rRNA from 1 species
AGAGUUUGAUCCUGGCUCAGAUUGAACGCUGGCGGCAUGCCUUACACAUGCAAGUCGAACGGUAACGCGGGGCAACCUGGCGACGAGUGGCGAACGGGUGAGUAACGCAUCGGAACGUGCCCAGUAGUGGGGGAUAGCCCGGCGAAAGCCGGAUUAAUACCGCAUACGACCUACGGGUGAAAGCGGGGGACCGUAAGGCCUCGCGCUAUUGGAGCGGCCGAUGUCAGAUUAGGUAGUUGGUGGGGUAAAAGCCUACCAAGCCGACGAUCUGUAGCUGGUCUGAGAGGACGACCAGCCACACUGGGACUGAGACACGGCCCAGACUCCUACGGGAGGCAGCAGUGGGGAAUUUUGGACAAUGGGCGCAAGCCUGAUCCAGCCAUGCCGCGUGCGGGAUGAAGGCCUUCGGGUUGUAAACCGCUUUUGUCAGGGAAGAAACGCUCCGGGCCAAUACCCUGGGGUAAUGACGGUACCUGAAGAAUAAGCACCGGCUAACUACGUGCCAGCAGCCGCGGUAAUACGUAGGGUGCAAGCGUUAAUCGGAAUUACUGGGCGUAAAGCGUGCGCAGGC